UUGACCUCAAAUCAGGUAGGACUACCCGCUGAACUUAAGCAUAUCAAUAAGCGGAGGAAAAGAAACUAACAAGGAUUCCCCUAGUAACUGCGAGUGAAGCGGGAUGAGCUCAAAUUUUGAAUCUGGCGGUCUUUGGCCGUCCGAGUUGUAAUCUAGAGAAGCGUUUUCCGCG
rnacentral:rRNA from 1 species